rnacentral:rRNA from 1 species
GAUGAACGCUGGCGGCGUGCCUAAUACAUGCAAGUCGAGCGAACAGACGAGGAGCUUGCUCCUCUGACGUUAGCGGCGGACGGGUGAGUAACACGUGGAUAACCUACCUAUAAGACUGGGAUAACUUCGGGAAACCGGAGCUAAUACCGGAUAAUAUAUUGAACCGCAUGGUUCAAUAGUGAAAGACGGUUUUGCUGUCACUUAUAGAUGGAUCCGCGCCGCAUUAGCUAGUUGGUAAGGUAACGGCUUACCAAGGCAACGAUGCGUAGCCGACCUGAGAAGGUGAUCGGCCACACUGGAACUGAGACACGGUCCAGACUCCUACGGGAGGCAGCAGUAGGGAAUCUUCCGCAAUGGGCGAAAGCCUGACGGAGCAACGCCGCGUGAGUGAUGAAGGUCUUCGGAUCGUAAAACUCUGUUAUUAGGGAAGAACAAAUGUGUAAGAAACUAUGCACGUCUUGACGGUACCUAAUCAGAAAGCCACGGCUAACUACGUG